AAAAAAAAAAAAAAAAAAAAAAAGAAAGAAAGAAAGAAAGAAAAAGGCUUCAGUGUGAGCGCUUGCCGUUUAAGGACCUGCUGUCUAUGCUUUGGAUUCCUUGCACUUGACAACUGGGGAAGUGGGACUGUUUCCUUGUGCCAUCCUGUUCUCUCAGCUGGCCUGAUGGGACUGCAGUGUGUGGGGGCUUAGUGUUUUACUGACUUGAUGCGAAUACUUCUCCUUUCUAGCCUGAAUCAAAUUCUGCCACGGCUAAGUCCUCCAAUGCUCAUUUCUGUGUGGGGGUGUCACUAUCUCUUCAGAUGGCACCGGGCUGGCACUGUGCCCACAGGGUGGUCUUCCUGCAUUUCUCUAAGGAAAAAGGCCCACCGCGGACCCUUCCUUGCAUAUUCCAGAGAUAAUUUAAGUAUCAUCAAGGUCAAGGUCAGGGCCUCUGCCUAUAACGGCACAGGACUAACUUCACACGCAGCAGGCAGGGAGCUGCCCUGGCCGUGGGGGGUCUGCCUCGGCCACCCAGGGGUGCCUCUGCUGUGUGUGAUCUGGGGCUUCUCCCUGGAAGACCAAGCCGACCCACAGAGUCCAGGGCUGGCUUGCCUGGCCUACCCGCUCCUCUCCUCUCCUUCCCCGACGUGUCAUUCCCAAGUCCUCUCAUGAGAGUCUCUCCUCCUCUCCCUCUUGGUCCUGUCUUCUCCUGUGUUCUGGCCCUCCCUUGGCUGUACUGGGUCAAAUCCCGGGUUCUCCCACCAGCCUCAGGCACAGACCCUCUGUUAGAAAACUGGUGCCCCUUGGAGAUGCCCUCCAGGAUGAAGUGGGGAGGGCGGGCCUUCUCCUUGGAAGGAAUCGCAGCCCCCACCAUUCCUGCAGGGUAGUGCCCUGUGGAGAACCCACUAAAUCACACAGCUUUGUUUCCAUGCACGUCCUUGGUGACCUUCUCAUUUGUGUUCCUUGGGAUUAUUUAUCAAAUUAAUGUUCCCCUCCCAGCCGCCCCCUUGCAGGCUCAGGAGUGGAUGCCUGCCCUCCCACGACUCCUGGGUGGGCCCUGAAGGGCUGCGUGCCUCGUGCUCGUCUUCCAGAGCGUUCUGUAACCCUUCCUGGGUGGCCACAUGCCUGCACUCACGGCUGGUGGCAGCUGUGGCUGGGACCUCACUAGAGAUGAUGUCGGUGUAAGGAGAGGUAGGUUUUCUACGAUGGAAUCUAAUCUCAGGUGAGGCGCCACUGCCCAGGUCCCGAGGUGGUUAAAGGCCCACGCAGGGGGAAGGCCACAGCAGGACAGUGCCACUGCCCAGGUCCCGAGGUGGUUAAAGAGCCCACGCAGGGGGAAGGCCACAGCAGGACGAGGUGGUUAAAGGGCCCACGCAGGGGGAAGGCCACAGCAGGACGGGCACCUCUGCAGUCUCCUGAGCUGAGCAGAGGGCGGCUCCUGCCCUGUGCACCCGGUGGCUUUCCUAGAUGGCCGCUGCUCCAGGCCCCUCAGCCCCUUGUCUGUGCUCAGGGAACCCUGCAGAGGCCUCCCCAUUGCCGGCCCUCAGCAGGCCCUCCUGGAUGAGCCCAGCCCAGCUCACCUCUGGUUGAGUGUCUCAGAGGUGCUUCUGGCUAUUCCUUCCUAUCCUAGCCGGGCAACUGUGGCUCUUUUUCUGGAAAAUGGGCAUAAUGCUCCUUGCAUUACGAACUCACACUGGCAGGUGCUGUGUGUUUGCAGUGAGACGACAUGUGUUAUUCCUGGGGCCUCUGACCUGGUCUUUGGGGCUCAGAGUAAAGGGAAGUCCAGCUGCUCCCCCGGCUUAGCAGAGAAGUGGCCUGUGGGGUGCCCAAGGCAGGGGUAACACCCUGUCUCGUUGUCCCCAGCAAAAUUCAUGGGGACACAUUUUAGAUCCAUUCCUCCUUCAACCUCUGUUCCCUGCUGGAAAGUCUAGCCCCUUCUGCAGAGGCAGAGACAUGUUCCUGUGCUCAGGACUCUCUGUGAGACUCAGGAGUUAGGCUGUUCCUUCCCAUGUCACCCGGGUCUGUGGCUGGGGUGGGGGUAGGGGGGCUCCCGUGCUUAUAAAUGCUUUGAUUUUCUCAAAAUGGAACAAAUCUCAUUAUGUUGAAUCCACUUAGCAGUGGAACAAAAUAUGCAGUUUGAACAAACAUCCCAUCAAAGCCCUGGCCAAAAUGAUCAUCUCCUGAACCAGGCUGUGUGGUGAGCCCGGUCCAGGGUCAGAGGGGAUGCCUGGAGAUCCAAAACCAGAACUGAUGGGUAUCUGCCAGGUCUCACAGCCUUACCUCCCUCAAGCACACCCCCCCGGCCCCUGAAUCUCCUGCAUCUCCAGCCCACACACACAGGGCCCCGGGCUUCUCGCACGGGACACAUUUGCUUGCCUGAGGCCUUCCUCCUGGGUGGCAAGAAGCUGUGUCUCAGGGUCACUGUUGCCCAUUCCUUCCUAUCCUAGCCAGGGAAAUUGUGGGCUCUUUUUCUGGAAAAUGGGAGUGAUGCUCCUUGCCCACAACAUACACUCACACUGAGAUGUGAGGCAUGUUUGCAGUGAGAAAACAUUUGUUAUUCCUGGGGCCUCUGACCCAGUCUUAGGGGCCCAGAGUAAAGGAGAGCCCUCUCAGAACAUCUUGGAGCUGGCCAGCACGCUGUGGUGUCAUGGGAGACAGCGCUGCUGAGCAAGGUGAUGCAGGGGCUCCGCCCAGCCCCUCAUACGCCAGGCCUCCUCUGAGGAUGGGGCUGAGCAGGCUGGGGACGGCCACAGAGGCUGGUGUCUCUCUUCCAAACCCAACCCACAGCAGCCACGGUACGUGGUUCCUGGCACUCGGAAGGCGUCCCUGAUCACAGGUGCUUACACGGGGAGGGGCCUGUGUCUCGAGUGGGUCUGGGGGCCUGGCUGGGAGCUGGGCCGGCCACCUCUGCCAUCGUCAGCAAUGUGCACUGGCGAAUCUGAGUCUGCAUUUCUAGAACCAUCGAGUUGCCUGUGGCAAAGCGGGGAGCCCUCUGACGACGGUGGGUUCUGUUUUUGAUUGUUUUAAGAAACACCAAAAGUUUUUCAGGCCGCUAGGAAGCAGUGCAUUCCCGGAUGUUCCCAAGAAAGUUCCCGCGUCAGCAGCAGCCUGAUGGCCAGUCUAGGUCCAAACCCGCAUUUUUACAGACUUGUCCACACCCUCUGUCCUUCUGGACCUUAGCAUUUCUUAGACUGUGCAGCCUCUGACCACACCUGGAGCAGAGAAAGGUCAAAUCUAGCCCAGGGCCUGACAUUGAAAGCUAAGACUGAGCUAAGAAUGGCAUUUGCGGUUUU